rnacentral:rRNA from 1 species
CAGCCGCCACGGGAAUACAGAGGGUGCAAGCGUUAAUCGGAAUUACUGGGCGUAAAGCGCGCGUAGGUGGUUUGUUAAGUUGGAUGUGAAAUCCCCGGGCUCAACCUGGGAACUGCAUCCAAAACUGGCAAGCUAGAGUAUGGUAGAGGGUGGUGGAAUUUCCUGUGUAGCGGUGAAAUGCGUAGAUAUAGGAAGGAACACCAGUGGCGAAGGCGACCACCUGGACUGAUACUGACACUGAGGUGCGAAAGCGUGGGGAGCAAACAGGAUUAGAUACCCGCGUAGUCCCUGUCUCUUAUAA